rnacentral:rRNA from 1 species
AGCGAACGCUGGCGGCAGGCCUAACACAUGCAAGUCGAACGAACUCUUCGGAGUUAGUGGCGGACGGGUGAGUAACACGUGGGAACGUGCCUUUUGGUUCGGAAUAACUCAGGGAAACUUGUGCUAAUACCGAAUGUGCCCUUCGGGGGAAAGAUUUAUCGCCAUUAGAGCGGCCCGCGUCUGAUUAGCUGGUUGGUGGGGUAACGGCUCACCAAGGCGACGAUCAGUAGCUGGUCUGAGAGGAUGACCAGCCACACUGGGACUGAGACACGGCCCAGACUCCUACGGGAGGCAGGAGUGCCGGAUCCAGCGAAAUGGGGGAAAGCAUGAAGGAGUCAUGCUGGGUAAAUGCUGUAGGUCGUAGGGUUGUAAAAUUCUUUCACCGGUGACGAUAAUGACGGUACCCGGAGAAGAAGCCCCGGCUAACUUCGUG